AGGGUUUGAUCCUGGCUCAGAUUGAACGCUGGCGGAAUGCUUUACACAUGCAAGUCGAACGGCAGCACGGGUGCUUGCACCUGGUGGCGAGUGGCGAACGGGUGAGUAACAUAUCGGAACGUACCCAGUAAUGGGGGAUAACUAACCGAAAGGUUAGCUAAUACCGCAUACGCCCUGAGGGGGAAAGCGGGGGAUCGAAAGACCUCGCGUUAUUGGAGCGGCCGAUAUCUGAUUAGCUAGUUGGUGAGGUAAAGGCUCACCAAGGCGACGAUCAGUAGCUGGUCUGAGAGGAUGAUCAGCCACACUGGAACUGAGACACGGUCCAGACUCCUACGGGAGGCAGCAGUGGGGAAUUUUGGACAAUGGGGGAAACCCUGAUCCAGCCAUUCCGCGUGAGUGAAGAAGGCCUUCGGGUUGUAAAGCUCUUUCGGCAGGGAAGAAACGCUCUGGAUUAAUACUCUGGGGUAAUGACGGUACCUGAAGAAGAAGCACCGGCUAACUACGUGCCAGCAGCCGCGGU
rnacentral:rRNA from 1 species